rnacentral:rRNA from 1 species
AGCGAACGCUGGCGGCAGGCCUAACACAUGCAAGUCGAACGAAGUCUUCGGACUUAGUGGCGGACGGGUGAGUAACACGUGGGAACGUGCCUUUAGGUUCGGAAUAACUCAGGGAAACUUGUGCUAAUACCGAAUGUGCCCUUCGGGGGAAAGAUUUAUCGCCUUUAGAGCAGCCCGCGUCUGAUUAGCUAGUUGGUGAGGUAAUGGCUCACCAAGGCUACGAUCAGUAGCUGGUCUGAGAGGAUGACCAGCCACAUUGGGACUGAGACACGGCCCAAACUCCUACGGGAGGCAGCAGUGGGGAAUCUUGCGCAAUGGGCGAAAGCCUGACGCAGCCAUGCCGCGCGGAUGAUGAAGGUCUUAGGAUUGUAAAAUCCUUUCACCGGGGACGAUAAUGACGGUACCCGGAGAAGAAGCCCCGGCUAACUUCGUGCCAGCCGCCGCGGUAAAAC